UGAGGAACAUGACCUUCGGCGGGGGAUAGCCGGCCCAACGGCCGGGUAAUACCGCGUACGACCACAUGGGGACAUCCCUGAGUGGUGAAAGCAGCAAUGCGCCGAAAGAGUGCCUCGCGGCCUAUCAGCUAGUUGGUGGGGUAAUGGCUCACCAAGGCGACGACGGGUAGCUGGUCUGAGAGGAUGGCCAGCCACAUUGGGACUGAGACACGGCCCAGACCUCUACGGGGAGG
rnacentral:rRNA from 1 species